rnacentral:rRNA from 1 species
CGAAGGACAAGAGAGNUAAGGCCCCUUAAAANUAAGCGCCCUCUAACUAACCAGAUGACCUAGUCUCAAUCUGCUAUGUAGUAAUAUAUNCCUGCCCAAGACCAGGGCUC